CAGAGAAGCUGCUGCAGACACUUUCCUGCCUUUUGCAGUACCGGUUUACACUUUGCACAUGGAUGUGUAUUCCUUGUCACCACACCAAGAAUAAAGGAAAGAGAGAAGCUGCUGCAGACACUUUCCUGCCUUUUGCAGUGCCAGUUUACACUUUGCACAUGGAUGUGUUUUCCUUGUCACCAGACCAAGAAUAAAGGAAAGAGAGAAGCUGCUGCAGACACUUUCCUGCCUUUUGCAGUGCCAGUUUACACUUUGCACAUGGAUGUGUUUUCCUUGUCACCAGACCAAGAAUAAAGGAAGCAGAGAAGCUGCUGCAGACACUUUCCUGCCUUUUGCAGUACCGGUUUACACUUUGCACAUGGAUGUGUAUUCCUUGUCACCACACCAAGAAUAAAGGAAAGAGAGAAGCUGCUGCAGACACUUUCCUGCCUUUUGCAGUGCCAGUUUACACUUUGCACAUGGAUGUGUUUUCCUUGUCACCAGACCAAGAAUAAAGGAAGCAGAGAAGCUGCUGCAGACACUUACUUGCCUUUUGCAGUACCGGUUUACACUUUGCACAUGGAUGUGUAUUCCUUGUCACCACACCAAGAAUAAAGGAAAGAGAGAAGCUGCUGCAGACACUUUCCUGCCUUUUGCAGUGCCAGUUUACACUUUGCACAUGGAUGUGUUUUCCUUGUCACCAGACCAAGAAUAAAGGAAGCAGAGAAGCUGCUGCAGACACUCUCUUGCCUUUUGCAGUACCGGUUUACGCUUUGCACAUGGAUGUGUAUUCCUUGUCACCAGACCAAGAAUAAAGG